rnacentral:rRNA from 1 species
UACGGGGGGGGCAAGCGUUGUUCGGAAUUACUGGGCGUAAAGGGUUCGUAGGUGGCCAACUAAGUCAGACGUGAAAUCCCUCAGCUUAACUGGGGAACUGCGUCUGAUACUGAUUGGCUCGAGUGCAGGAGAGGAACGCGGAAUUCCAGGUGUAGCGGUGAAAUGCGUAGAUAUCUGGAGGAACACCGGUGGCGAAGGCGGGUCUCUGGGCCGAUACUGACGCUGAGGAGCGAAAGCGUGGGGAGCGAACAGG